rnacentral:rRNA from 1 species
GGGAUAACCGCUGAAAGCAUCUAAGUGGGAAACCCACCUCAAAACUAGUUCUUCCUAUAGAGCCGUAGUAGACCACUACGUUGAUAGGCUGGAUGUGGAAGCGUUGUAAGACGUGUAGCUGACCAGUACUAAUAGCUCAAUUGGCUUGAUUUAUG